CCUGGCGGCACUAGCGCGGUGGUCCCACCUGACCCCAUGCCGAACUCAGAAGUGAAACGCUGUAGCGCCGAUGGUAGUGUGGGGUCUCCCCAUGCGAGAGUAGGGAACUGCCAGGC
rnacentral:rRNA from 14 species